rnacentral:piRNA from 1 species
AGUCUCAGAUGGUAGUGAACUCAUGGGU